CCUACGGGUGGCAGCAGUGGGGAAUAUUGCACAAUGGGGGAAACCCUGCUGCAGCAACGCCGCGUGAAGGAAGACGGUUUUCGGAUUGUAAACUUCUAUCAACAGGGAAGAAAGAAAUCAAUGUACCUAAAUAAGAAGCCCCGGCUAACUACGUGACAGCCGCCGCGGUAAUACGUAGGGGGCAAGCGUUACCCGGAAGUACUGGGUGGAAAGGGAGAGUAGGCGGCAAGGUAAGCGAGAUGUGAAAGCCUUAAGCUUAACUAAAGGAUUGCAUGACGAACUAUAGAGCUAGAGUACAGGAGAGGACAGCGGAAUUCCUAGUGUAGCGGUGAAAUGCGUAGAUAUUAGGAAGAACACCAGUGGCGAAGGCGGCUUUCUGGACUGAAACUGACGCUGAGGCUCGAAAGCGUGGGGAGCGAACAGGAUUAGAUACCCUUGUAGUC
rnacentral:rRNA from 1 species